rnacentral:rRNA from 2 species
GCAUAUCAAUAAGCGGAGGAAAAGAAACCAACAGGGAUUGCCCCAGUAACGGCGAGUGAAGCGGCAAGAGCUCAAAUUUGAAAUCUGGCCUCCCCCGGGGGCCCGAGUUGUAAUUUGCAGAGGAUGCUUCGGGUGCGGCCGCCGUCUAAGUUCCUUGGAACAGGACGUCAGAGAGGGUGAGAAUCCCGUCUUGGGCGGGCGGUCCGCGCCCGUGUGAAGCUCCUUCGACGAGUCGAGUUGUUUGGGAAUGCAGCUCUAAGCGGGUGGUAAAUUUCAUCUAAAGCUAAAUAUUGGCCGGAGACCGAUAGCGCACAAGUAGAGUGAUCGAAAGGUUAAAAGCACCUUGAAAAGGGAGUUAAACAGCACGUGAAAUUGUUGAAAGGGAAGCGCUUGCGGCCAGACUCGGGGGCGGGGUUCAGCGGGUGCUCGUCGCCCGUGUACUCCUCGUCUCCCGGGCCAGCAUCAGUUUCGACGGCCGGUCAAAGGCCCCCGGAAUGUGUCGUCUCUCGGGACGUCUUAUAGCCGGGGGUGCAAUGCGGCCCGUCGGGACUGAGGAACGCGCUCCGGCUCGGAUGCUGGCGUAAUGGCCGUAAGCGGCCCGUCUUGAAACACGGACC